CCUACGGGUGGCAGCAGUGAGGAAUAUUGGUCAAUGGACGAGAGUCUGAACCAGCCAAGUAGCGUGAAGGAUGACUGCCCUAUGGGUUGUAAACUUCUUUUAUAUGGGAAUAAAACGUUUCACGUGUGGGAUUUUGUAUGUACCAUAUGAAUAAGGAUCGGCUAACUCCGUGCCAGCAGCCGCGGUAAUACGGAGGAUCCGAGCGUUAUCCGGAUUUAUUGGGUUUAAAGGGAGCGUAGGUGGCUUGUUAAGUCAGUUGUGAAAGUUUGCGGCUCAACCGUAAAAUUGCAGUUGAAACUGGCAGUCUUGAGUACAGUAGAGGUGGGCGGAAUUCGUGGUGUAGCGGUGAAAUGCUUAGAUAUCACGAAGAACUCCGAUUGCGAAGGCAGUUCACUGGACUGCAACUGACACUGAGGCUCGAAAGUGUGGGUAUCAAACAGGAUUAGAUACCCUUGUAGUC
rnacentral:rRNA from 1 species